CCCACCUGUAGAGACGUUGCAGGUGUAGCUGCUGUGUCACAUUGUGUCAUUAGGUGGCACAGAGGAGAGAGGCUAUAUUUAAAUUCAUUUUUCUGACCUAUAAACAUUUGAAUAGUUAGUAUCCUAGCAUU